rnacentral:rRNA from 1 species
AGGCCUUCGGGCCUGGGGACAGCGGCGAACGGGUGAGUAACACGUGGGUAAUCUGCCCUCGGCAUCGGGAUAGCCCGGGGAAACCCGGAUUAAUACCGAAUUGCCUCCGGAGCCUGCGGGCGCCGGAGAAAAGGUGGCUUCGGCUUCCGGCUGAGGAUGAGCCCGCGGCGGAUUAGCUUGUUGGCGGGGUAACGGCCCACCAAGGCGACGAUCCGUAGCUGGUCUGAGAGGACGAUCAGCCACACUGGGACUGAGACACGGCCCAGACUCCUACGGGAGGCAGCAGUGGGGAAUCUUGCGCAAUGGGCGAAAGCCUGACGCAGCGACGCCGCGUGCGGGAAGAAGGCCUUCGGGUUGUAAACCGCUUUCAGGAGGGACGAAGCCACUCGGGUUAAUAGCCCAGAGGGUGACGGUACCUCCAGAAGAAGCCCCGGCUAACUACGUGCCAGCAGCCGCGGUAAUACGUAGGGGGCUAGCGUUGUCCGGAUUUAUUGGGCGUAAAGAGCGUGUAGGCGGGCAGGAAGGUCCGGUGUGAAAACUCGAGGCUCAACCUCGAGAAGUCGGCGGAAACCCUCUGG